rnacentral:lncRNA from 1 species
GGGUCACUUAUUUUUGGAAGAAAAUUUUCUCUUUGAUUUUUCUCUCUCUUUAGCUCUCUCUUGCCCCUGUUUCUUCUUUUCUAUUUAAAUUUGAAGAACUUUGGUGAUCUCUGUAAUAAUCUUGUAGUUAUCUAAUGAUGGUUGAAUGUUGGUACAGUGUUUUAGGCCUUUUUUGUGGCUGGUAAACCUGUAUUGUGUUCUUGACAAGGUUUUGUCUAGUCUUGUGGGCUAAGGUUCGAGUUAUUGAGAGAACCUUGUGGAUCGAUGACCAUAUAGUGGAUAUGAUUUGGUUUUCUCAACUGGUUGUACACUCUCUUGAAGGUUUCUUGCUAGUGACGGGGUUACCUCUGAGCCCCCAGAUUAGGCCAUUUUUGGCUGAACUGGGUGAACAAUCUUUGUGUUCGAUUUCUAUUCUUGCUUUAUUUUUACUGUUUUUACGAUUACUUGUGGGUUUUGGGUUGUUAAUCCUAACACCCUUCAUCCUUGCUGAGAGAACCACAUAAAAGAUAUGAUGUUGACGAAGGAUUUGUGAUCAAAAGAAGAGAUCCUUUCUUGAUCUCUAUUCACCAUGGUGACAGUGGUCCGACGGUGAUGGGCUGCCAUUGUUGUUGGUGUGCUGCGGUUGUGUUUGUGUAUGUGGGUUAAAAAGUUGGUAUUUAUCGAAUAAAAAAAAGAAAUAAUUAAAUUGGAGUUUGACAUCAAAAUAUAGUUUAUGGUGUAACUACCCUUGUUAUUUAUUACCCUAUCAAAUUAAGCCCGAAAAUAGAGCGUCGAAAGAUCAUACAUUCGAGAGGGUCAACCAAAAUUUACUGAUAUAUGCUGGUAUUGAAAUGUGUAUUUAGGUUAUUAUAUUCGUACCACUAUUUUUGUUCGAUACACCACAUUUUAAUUGCAAGGAAAUUUUCCAACUUUUGCUCAUUGCCAUACAUAUAUACACAACUCUUUAGGAAUUACAAGGACAUACUUGAUAUGGAUAUAAGUAUAAAUUCUAGGAAGGAGAACAGUAUAGGAAGAUUUAAAAUGAGCAAAACAAGAGCAACCUCAGUGCCUCUUGCAAAUCAUUUUAAACCUACUAUUGAGCAAAGUCCUCAAACUCAAGAAGAGUUUGACACGAUGUCUCUUUCGCCUUGUGCUAAUGCUGUUGGUCUCUUUAUUUACUUGAUUGUUUGUACUAGAUCUGGUUGCAUUUGCAAUUAGUGUAUUGAAAAGAAUUAUGGCUAAUCCAGGAAAAAUUUAUAGAGAAGCCAUGUAAUUCAGUUUUAUUAAGCGAACUUGUGAUCUUGGAUUACUGGAUUAGUGUUUAGAGAUUGUUUAAAUUCGUUGAUUGGUGAUAUUGCUCAAUUUUUAUUUAUUUAAUUUUUUAGGAGAGUGGCGUUCACUUGGUGAAUCCAAAUAAGGAUUUUGCUCACGACAUGAGACAUGACAACUAUGUUACGUAGUACUUUCACCGUGUGGAGAUUGUUGAGGUCAAAAUGGAACAAGUAUGGUUCUAAUUCAACAGAAUGCCUUUUGUGAAAGUGCGACUUAAAUUGGCGAAACAUGAUUUCACCAGAUUGAGCCACGUGUUCCUUUCUGUGCCAUUGAUGACUGACUCUUGAGAUGGCUUACAUCAGGCCCGUCCCUAGGCCAAAGCCACCUCAUAUUUGAGCGCCUCAAGUUAUCAGACAGAUUUUGCUGUUGAUGAAUGUUAUAUAACAUUAUAUGAUAUCAGACAGAAACUCUUGAGAGUUUCUGGUUCAAGCCUGAAGUAUGAUGUGAAUUCAAGAGGAGUUGUUGUGCGAUAUUUGAUUGUUAAGUCCAUAUAAUCAUAAACUUUGAGCAGAUCCCUGGGUGGAUGUGAUACAGGCCAUUUUCUGGUGGAUUGAAGAUCUUCUUCUCACUUCUUAAGUUCACUUUUGUUUUGUUUUGGCUCAUUAAUCUUGUGUAGUCUAACAGCUAUGUAUUUUUGGGACCUUACUAGAAGGUUUAGUAUUUUUACUUACACCUCUAACACAUACCAUAUGAAAAAAUUAAAGUUUUAAAUAAACAACAUGGUGCACUUGCGAGAUUUUACUGAUCAUCAAGUGUGGCUCUUGUGACUAUGUCAUUAGAGAUGAGAACAAAGUCGACUACAACUUUGCAUCAUUUGCUACUUCUUGUCCCUUGACUUUUUAGUUGGAUUGUAC